rfam:Schistosoma mattheei strain Denwood, Zambia genome assembly, scaffold: SMTD_scaffold0004659
AUCCAGCUGACGAGUCUCAAAUAGGACGAAACGCGCGUCUGAGAU